UACAGCCACAUCACGUUGAAACACUGAUUCCUGUACAAUUACCAAAGUUAAGCAAUUUCAAACCUGGUCAGUACUGAGAUGGGUGACUGCUUGGGAAUACCAGGUGUUGUAAG